CAAAUAGGUAGAACUGAAAUCUUCAUACUAAGUGAAUCCAGCCAGUCAUAAAGGCAAGUGUGAAAUGGGUUUCCUCAAAUGUGAAAUCAUGGAAAGAAGAGGAUAUAGAGUACUGGCAUUCUCUGGGAGAGACUGCCAGAGAGGCCCUGGCAUACUGCAUGUCCCUCUUCUUUCUUGCCAUCUCCUUCUUCAAGCAUAGCUGAGAGAUAGCAGCUGAUGACCGCUGCCACUUACAGUGUUUGCGCAGGCCAGUUUAAGUGUGCAAACAGAAAUAACCCUGCAAUCCGAAUCUCAGAGGCAGCUUUGGCCGGUAUCUGAUCUGUGGUGUGUUCCAUCAUGGGCCAGCUGCUGACAAUGAAAAAGGCCAAGGACUUCCUCCGCACAGAUAUGCCAUAUUGGGUUUUCACUCCUUUCCUUGUUGAUGGAUGAGGACACAUGAGUGACAGCCCCAAGGACCUGCACCAAUGCAAUGCCACUGCAUAGAUCCUGAGCUUCCUGGAUUUGGUUCAUAAUCUUCCACUUAAGUGCAAUGUCGGUCAGGUAAGACACAGAGCAACCGACGACCAUCCAUGGCCCGUCACAUUCCUUAUAUCUGAGCAGUCAUUACACAUUUCACCAGUCCAGAUCAGCUUUGCCUGGUAAAGACAUUUCCAAAGGAAAUCAGCAGCUUCAUUUCACUUGAGUGAAAGUUCUAUUUGCUCUAAUUCUUUUUCAGGUACUGGGCAUUGAACCCAGGAUUACACAUAAGCUAGGCGAGCACUCUACUACUGAGCUGCAUCCCCAGCCCUGCUAUAAAGUUCAGAUACCUACCCAUGUGGAGCAAUUACAGUCAUGAAAUCCAUCCGGCAAGGAGGAAAGGAUCAGUGGCAAAUGUGCAAAUGCUGUUUAAGCUCCAUGUUCAGUAAGUAUGUUCAAUAGGUUUGCUGAGCCAUGGGAGAGCCUUUCCCACUCAAAUCAGCUCUCUCUUCUGUGUCUAAUUUUUAGCUUUGGUUCCUUUCACUAUUUGGAAUUCAG
rnacentral:lncRNA from 1 species